rnacentral:lncRNA from 1 species
GGUUUUGAUUUUAUCUUUAACUAUAAUCUAACUAUUUUUUUUAAAUAAUUAGAUCAGUUGAUUAAAAUUUCUUAUGUUCAGAUUUGAUCAUAACCUAUCUCAUCCGAGUAUAGAUCGUAUUUUUCGAUUACGAUCCAUCUUUCUAAAGCAUAAGCUAUUCAAAUUAAAAUUACAAGAAGAACAAAUAAAUAGAUCUAUAUGUUAAUCUUUAAGAUAGCCUAUUUCAUCUGAGCACGGA